rnacentral:sRNA from 1 species
CGUGCGUGGGAACAUGUGUGCGCUAGACACGAUACGCUGAGAACUGUCUUCUUUGAAUCUAUUGUUCAUCGAGGGAACUUCGAACAGGUUGUGAUGGGACAAGUCACUCCCGAUAUUCUAUUCACUGAAUGCGAAGACGAGGAUUCGGCCCUUCAGCAGCUAGAAUCCCAACGAGGGUGUACUAACUUCGGCAAAUUUCGACCUGCUCAUCGACUCUCAUUGACUAAAUUUUCCAGCUCGCGAAUUAUAUAUCAGUUAGAAAUCAGCCAUGCGUUGGUCGACGCGACAUCGAUUUUCGUCCUGCUUCGAGAUUUAGCACUGGCGUAUGAUGGAUCUUUGUCAUCAGUCCCUGGUCCUUCGUACCGCUCCUAUGUUGAACAUAUCGCCCAGCAAAAUCGGAUCCUGAACAUUGAGUAUUGGAAAGGCUACCUUGAUGGAGCC